rnacentral:rRNA from 1 species
CUCGGCUCUCGCAUCGAUGAAGAACGUAGCGAAAUGCGAUACUUGGUGUGAAUUGCAGAAUCCCGUGAACCAUCGAGUCUUUGAACGCAAGUUGCGCCCGAAGCCGUCAGGCCGAGGGCACGUCUGCCUGGGCGUCACGCAUCGCGUCGCCCCCCUACUCUACCCC